rnacentral:rRNA from 1 species
UACGUAGGGUGCGAGCGUUUGUCCGGAAUUAUUGGGCGUAAAGAGCUCGUAGGCGGUCUGUCGCGUCGAUCGUGAAAACUUGGGGCUUAACCCUGAGCUUGCGGUCGAUACGGGCAUGACUGGAGUUCGGCAGGGGAGACUGGAAUUCCUGGUGUAGCGGUGAAAUGCGCAGAUAUCAGGAGGAACACCGGUGGCGAAGGCGGGUCUCUGGGCCGAUACUGACGCUGAGGAGCGAAAAGCGUGGGGGAGCGAAA